GCCGCGUGUGUGACGAAGGCCUUAGGGUCGUAAAGCACUUUCGCCAGAGAUGAUAAUGACAGUAUCUGGUAAAGAAACCCCGGCUAACUCCGUGCCAGCAGCCGCGGUAAUACGGAGGGGGUUAGCGUUGUUCGGAAUUACUGGGCGUAAAGCGUACGUAGGCGGAUUAGUAAGUUAGAGGUGAAAUCCCAGGGCUCAACCCUGGAACUGCCUUUAAUACUGCUAGUCUAGAGUUCGAGAGAGGUGAGUGGAAUUCCAAGUGUAGAGGUGAAAUUCGUAGAUAUUUGGAGGAACACCAGUGGCGAAGGCGGCUCACUGGCUCGAUACUGACGCUGAGGUAGGAAAGUGUGGGGAGCAAACAGGAUUAGAUACCCCGGUAGUCCACACCGUAAACGAGGAAUGCCAGU
rnacentral:rRNA from 1 species